rnacentral:rRNA from 1 species
GUGCCAGCCGCCGCGGUAAUACGGAGGGGGCAAGCGUUGUUCGGAGUCACUGGGCGUAAAGAGCUCGUAGGCGGCAGUGUAAGUCGGGAGUUAAAGGCAACAGCUUAACUGUUGUAAGGCUUUUGAAACUACAUUGCUAGAGUACCAGAGAGGUAAGCGGAAUUUCCUGUGUAGCGGUGAAAUGCGUAGAUAUAGGAAGGAACACCGGUUGCGAAGGCGGCUUACUGGCUGGUAACUGACGCUGAGGAGCGAAAGCGUGGGUAGCAAACAGG